rnacentral:lncRNA from 1 species
UAUCUGUUUUCAGGUAUGUGAAGGAAAGCUAAGAUAAUUCAGUGGAUUCUUCACUGGGAAAAAGGCCAGAUUCCAGUUUAUAAGUUAUUGGGGAACAUGGCAGCUUUUUUUGAAUACCCUCCUCUUUGCCAGUUGCCCAAGGUGGAACACCCAAACUUUGACAUGAUACUUCCAUUAAUGCAACUUAGUAUCACAAGUUGAUGUCGUGGCCCAGCACAGGAUGGCCUGGAAACCGGCAACACUGGACGCUGGGGAAAGGGUAAGAAGGUCUUGACCAUUACAAAUGGUGUGGAACUGAGCCGAGGGAGGGAUAGUGAGAAGGGAGAGAGGGUGAGGUGUCUGAGAGACAAUGAGGUCAAAUCAGAGGAUUCAGCCAUUGUUGGCGUGUGGGAAAGGGAAGGAGAAGGGAAGAGUCAGGGAUGACAUUUGUUGAGAGAGAGAGAGAGAAGAGAGAGAGACGCAGGUGGAAAGAGGAUGGCACCACAUUGGACUAGCCCCAACGGAAUGGGGAGAAGUGGGAGAGGACCCAGGGGAUGCAGAGCUGAUGAGAGUGGGAGAACCAAG